UAUGAAACAUGUCAGCUCUUUCCUGUGUUUUAUUUCUUUAGGUUUUGAUAAGUUCUUGCUGGUCUUUUAUUUUCUUGUUUUCUGUGUGAUCUCGCGAGAGUUUGGCGGGAAUGUUGUGCAGGUUUUGAAAAGAGUUUACAUGGUUGAUGUAGAGAACAUUCUGUUAAUUUGAACUUGUUUAUAUGAUUUACAUUUGGUUGAGCUAUCCAAGUGUUUGUGAGAAGUAUUUAAGUUAACCAUCACGUGAGACAGGAUGUAUGUGAUGUGAAGUGAUAUGAUUUGUCAUUGGUUUAUUGUGGAAUAGGCUUAAGAUCCCAUAGAUCUUGCCUUGAUUAAAGUUGACUUCAAUAGAGAACUUAGAAGAUAUAUUGUAUAUUCAGUUUGACUGUAUAUGUAAACAAUAAAUGAAUUACCACAUCUACCCUGUGUUAUAACACCAUGUGUUACA